rnacentral:misc_RNA from 1 species
AAAGUCGUAACAAGGUCUCCGUAGGUGAACCUGCGGAGGGAUCAUUAACACGUUUUAAAACACGUUUUAACACCCACUCACCAACCACGUGAACUAUUUAACUUGAAAGGAAGAUGAUAUUCCGCUUGCGGCAUCCCUCUCUUUUCUUUCGAAACACCCCUUUCACCUCUUCUAUAACUAUUGACUGAUCUUUUCUUUGUUGCUCAGCAAUGAGUAUAAUAAGAAAAACCUAAUCAAAUAUCUAAGCACAACUCUUAGCAACGGAUAUCUUGGUUCUC